rnacentral:rRNA from 1 species
CUGGCAAUUGGAAUGAGAACAAUUUAAAUCCCUUAUCGAGGAUCAAUUGGAGGGCAAGUCUGGUGCCAGCAGCCGCGGUAAUUCCAGCUCCAAUAGCGUAUAUUAAAGUUGUUGCAGUUAAAAAGCUCGUAGUUGGACCUCUGGUGGGAGCGAUCGGUCCGACGCUCUGCGUGGGUACUUGUAUCGUCUCCGGCCAUCCUUGGGAAGAGCCUGUCUGGCAUUAGGUUGUCGGGCAGGGGAUUCCCAUCGUUUACUGUGAAAAAAUUAGAGUGUUCAAAGCAGGCUUAUGCCGUUGAAUAUAUUAGCAUGGAAUAAUAAGAUAGGACCUCAGGACUAUUUUGUUGGUUUGCGCCCCGAGGUAAUGAUUAAUAGGGACAGUUGGGGGUAUUCGUAUUGCGCUGUCAGAGGUGAAAUUCUUGGAUUAGCGCAAGACGAACUACUGCGAAAGCAUUUACCAAGGAUGUUUUCAUUAAUCAAGAACGAAAGUGGGGGGAUCGAAGAUGAUUAGAUACCAUCGUAGUCUCAACCAUAAACUAUGCCGACUCGGGAUUGGCGGUCGU